GACGAACGCUGGCGGCGUGCUUAACACAUGCAAGUCGAACGGAAAGGCCCCCACUUUUUUGGUGGGGGUGCUCGAGUGGCGAACGGGUGAGUAACACGUGGGUGAUCUGCCCUGUACUUCGGGAUAAGCUUGGGAAACUGGGUCUAAUACCGGAUAGGACCAUGGUUUAGUGUCUCAUGGUGGAAAAAUUAUUGUUUUGGUGCAGGAUGAGCUCGCGGCCUAUCAGCUUGUUGGUGGGGUAAUGGCCUACCAAGGCGUCGACGGGUAGCCGGCCUGAGAGGGUGGACGGCCACAUUGGGACUGAGAUACGGCCCAGACUCCUACGGGGGGCAGCAGUGGGGAAUAUUGCCCAAUGGGCGCAAGCCUGAUGCAGCGACGCCGCGUGGGGGAUGACGGCCUUCGGGUUGUAAACUCCUUUCGUUAGGGACGAAGCCGCACCUUUUUUGGGUGUGGUGACGGUACCUUUGUUAAGAAGCACCGGCUAACUACGUG
rnacentral:rRNA from 1 species